rnacentral:rRNA from 1 species
UACGUAGGGGGCUAGCGUUGUCCGGAAUCAUUGGGCGUAAAGCGCGCGUAGGCGGCCUGGUAAGUCCGCUGUGAAAGUCAAAGGCUCAACCUUUGAAUGAUCAGCGGACACUGCCAGGCUAGAGUCCCGGAAGAGGCGAGUGGAAUUCCUGGUGUAGCGGUGGAAUGCGCAGAUAUCAGGAGGAACACCAACGGCGAAGGCAGCUCGCUGGGACGUACUGACGCUGAGGCGCGAAAGCGUGGGGAGCGA